GGUACUGAGUUUCCUAAAUUGUUUUUGUGGAAAUUCAAAACACCCAUCACAUACCUAAAAAUACUCCAAAAAUUCAAAAUCGGUGUCCAAAAUUCUUUUGGGCCCAUUUUAGAGUUCCGGCACAGCAGCACUGCCAUGUUUCGGUAUCGACUCUACCGGCCACAGCAGGGUUUGCCUCGGUCUGUCCAGUUUUGGUCAGUUU
rnacentral:lncRNA from 1 species